AUCACUCUGCCUGCACCUCCCAAAAAUUAUUCCAGUUCUCUGAAAAAUCUCAUUUUCAUAUCAGCCUUACACCCUAGUAGUUGUACUCCAGAUAUAUUGGGCAGACUACCUAAUGUGCAAAGUCUUAGAAUAUCUGGGGAUUUGAGUCACUAUCAUUCCGGGGUUUCCAAAAGCCUGUGCGAACUACACAAACUUGAAUGCCUGAAAUUGGUGAAUGAAAGCAAGCUCUCACGGAUGGUCCUGUCUGAAUACCAAUUUCCUCCAAGUCUGGUCCAACUGAGCUUAUCAAAUACUGAGCUAAUGGAGGAUCCCAUGCCAAUACUGGAGAGGCUUCCGCGUCUUCAAGUGCUGAAACUGAAGCGAAACUCGUAUUUAGGAAGAAAGUUGGCCUGCGUUGGCUCUGGUGGCUUUCCAGAACUUAAGGUUUUGCACCUGAAAUCAAUGUAUUGGCUAGAUGAGUGGACGAUGGCGGCAGGAGCAAUGCCAAAACUUGAAAGCUUAAUUAUGAACCCUUGUGCAUACUUGAGAAAGCUUCCUGAGGAGCUACGGUGCAGAAAGAGCUUACGUAAAUUGGAGUUACAUUGGCCUCAGCCUGAGUUGAGGCAAAGGCUACGAGCUUUUGAGAAUAUGGAGUGGCGGUAUGACAUCCAGUUUUAUCCUUCUGGAAUCUAACGGAUUGAAAGAGGUGAGUUUUACUCAGUAGAUUUAUAAAUGUAUAAUUUAUCGUAAAACCUUCAAAGGUUCAAAUUUUAAUUUUUUAUCGUAAUUUCCUGACUUUUGUAGGAAAAAUCCAAGUGGAAAGCAUCAUAUAUAAUUGCCGUCUGGCUUUCAAUUUCAACUGCAAUUCAGCAUUGAUCCGUUUAAUUAUCUUCAUUUCAGCUGCCUUUUGGGGGCACUAUUUUGAAGCAGAUUUACCGCUAGUAAUUCCAUGGUUAGUCUAUUGUCUAUAAACUUGAAUAAGGUAUGUUUUUGCUUUUGUUGAUGUGGAUUUUGUGUUUUAGGAACUGUUGUGCGAUUAGGACUCCAGUUAAGUGUUGUUCAUGAAUAAAGGGUUUGGCUGUCCUUGGACUGUAUGGAAAAAGACAUCUAGUCAAAUUUUCAUCAAGUCACUGAGGGAAUUGCACCAAUGUAAAUAAUCCUCAGUGCCGUCAUGCUUUAUUUGAAUUUGAAUUUGUAUGACAAAAGGAUAUGUAUGAACUGUAAUUUGCAAAUUUGCCGUCUUACUUCUAAUCCCUCCCCAGAAGACUACAAAUUAUAAGGUAAAGUCUGGACCGGCAUUCGUGGGCUAAAUUGCAGACCAGCAGAUGCUUGAUCUUGAAGGUACUAAAACAUAUUUAUCUAAAUUUAAAUUAAUUUCCACUGCCAAUUUGUACUUUCAAUCCCCAAAAACGGUCCAAAAAUGCUAGAUAUGGCCUAAAUACUAAGGAUAUGGAGUCGCGGUUUGACAUCCACAUAUUGCCUUAUGGAACCCAAUUGAUUAAUUGGGGAGAGUUAUACUAUCUUAUCUGAUAACUCAACCUUUAGUUACGUGCCUGAUUUGGUAUGCCUUUUUCCGUUUCCUGAUUGUCUAACUGUCGUAUGAUUCGUUCCAAUUAAGUUUUCUUCAUUCGGGUGUGGUUUGCUCUGCUGUCUCAAAUUCAUCAAUGUGAAUAUGACACUCUUCAUUAAUAUUCCAAUUAAGCACUUCAGCUCGGAUGUGUAUUAUCUUUACUUAUUUUUCAGCUUUAUGCCUUUAGCUAUGGGAUAACUUUAGCCAUAUGCCAGUUACAAUCUCAAGAUUUGUGCAGAAGACUGCUUUUAUAAUUGUAAAUUUGUAAUGUUACUUGUAGUCCCUCAACGGCAAGACUCUAAAUAAGUAAGGUAAAGUUCAUUGAACAUGCAGCUUUUCUGCAAAUCAGGUCUUUGCACAAAUUAAAAUCCAGUUGUGGUCAAUGGAAAAUUGAUUGUUGACUUCCAUUUUUCCAAACAAGCCAACAGUACCCUAACACAAUCAACCCAAGCUUUUAAAGAGGAUACAAAUUUGCAGAAGCCACCAGAGUUGCAUCAACUAUUGGAGUUAGUGCAGAUAAGACUACUGAUGCACAAAAAUGGAAAUUAACAAUCAACUUGAGCAAAACCAUAAAAAUGCCGGGGUAGUUAAGGUUGCUUCCAACGCAAGCCUCAACUCGAGUAGCGAAACAGAGGGGGUAAGCCACACAAUGUAGCAGAGAAACAAAGAAAUAUCAUUCUGUAUUCUAUCUAAUAACUAUUUUACAUUCAUAACCGCAGCCAGGCUUCCCAAGUCAACUGUAAUUCAGCAUCGAUCCUUUACAUACAUUUCAUUUCAGCCGUCAUUUCGGGAAGUUGUUUUGAAUUGGAUUUGCGAGUUUGAUGAAGUGAGACUGCGAGUAUUGUUGCAGAUUUCAAUGUAUUUCAAUGUGAUGCGCACGUGACUCACUCAUUCUCAUUUGACCACAUCAAACUUCAGUCAAAGUUGUUACUAAUCGCGGCAAAGUUUGUUUAUGCAGUUUCUGUUUUGUACUUUAAAAACAUAGAUGUAAUCAUCACUACAUUAACAAAUAAUCAUAAUUAAAGCAAUCACCUUCCAAUUUUUGGAAAUGUCGACAGAAAUCUUUGUACAGGAGUGCGGUAAUGACAUACAAUUAUUAUAAUGGAACUUUACCUUUAGGAAACUUAAGAUGUCCUAUUUUCAAAAGGCAUCAAGGACUAACUUUUUUUCAUUCCCAUACUUUAUCUCAGUUAAUUUAUUUAAGAAUCUUCGCAUUACAAUCUGGUCACCAUGAUUUAUUUUCAUUUUAUUUUGAGACAAAAGAAUUGUUUUUAAAUUCUCAUCAGCAAAUGUACAUUGCUUUCGUUUUUGGAUUGGCAAAAACAGGGUAAAAUAAUAAUUAAACAAGAUUUCAGGACAUCAGCAUCUUAUUCUUUUCUUGAACCAAGUCUUUGUUUUGUUUAGCUUUUGUUAAGAUGCUUUAUUAACCUUCCUCCUUUUUCCUAUUGCUAGUAUGGUAUCAUUGUUCAUUUCUUGAACCGAGAUAUUUGCCUUUCCUUGGAAGUAAAGCUUAAAUGCUCUUUCGCCUUUCCUCCCUUUUUCUCUUAACUUGUGUUUUCUUAUGCGAUCGUUUUCAAUUGUACCAAACACCACUCAUUUAUCAAUAUCCAGUUUGAAUAAAAUUCUACAUUUUGAUUUUUCUGCUUCUUCCACAUAAUUGUUUGAUUGUGGUGCUUUCAGUCAGAGUUAGAUAUCAUCAGGACAUUAAAUCUUUGAUUACUCGAUCAAUUAAUAACAGGUAUUUUAUUAUCUGAAUUAUUCAUAAACUAACUUCAUUUUAUUUAUUUUUAUCUCAUGAAUGUUAGAUCCACUUUAGGUUUGUGAUUAAUUAUUUUUCGCAAGUUAUAUUUUUUUAUUUUCAUUUUCAUAAGUAUCAAAAUCAUCACUAUCAUGAUUCAUGCACACGUUGCUUGCAAUUUUAUUGUGUAAAAAUCAUCACCCACAAAUAAUAUUAAAUGAAAUUCACUCGCACAUUAAAAAAUAUGUGCAUAUAAUUUUUUUUAAAACCAUUAUUCUCCCUUGGAGCUUACUAUUAUUUAGUACACGAAAUAAAUAAAUAAAUAGAUAAAUAACUUGAUGGAGUUGUUUGCGAAUAGGAAUUAGUAUUUAUUUAGUUUCGUGUUUCUGCAUUACUAUUAUCUUCUUUGUUAUAUUUGCUUUUAUCCUCAAAUGUUGUUUUUGUAUUUGUUUUAUAAUAAAGAUACGAUUAGUUUCUAGAUAAUAUUAAAGCACGUUGGUAGCCUUUGUUAAAAUAGCAUUUGAAAAUGAAAUUUGUAAAAAUGUGUUUGGCAAUUCUUUUGGAAAAAUUAUAAAAUAAAUUAUUGUGGGACUCAUCUUAUUUCCAUUCAUUCCUUGCACAACGCAUUAUCCUGAUUGAUUAAAGUGUUAUUUCAAUGUUAUUUUCACCAAAUCCAAGAACAUGUCAGAAAAGCACUUUGUGAAAUAUGUUCUUCAUUCUAAUAUUUUCGCCAAAUAGAAAAAUACCAAACAGCUCCUUAGUUAGAGAUAGUUAUUUGACAACACAAGUACUCUGUUUUGCAUAUAUUUAUAUAUUUCUAAUAGCUUUGCUUUGCAAAUUCCUACUAAACAGUAUAAGUGAGAGAAGGAGACAUGCUGGACGUCCAUCUCCGACUAUUUUGUGAGAGGUUGAAAAGGGUGUUAGCAGGUGAAGAGGGCGCGUUGCCGUUGGUUGAUUCAACAAAUUUAACUCCACUUUUUCAAAACCUUCUUACGGAGUCCGAAAUUAUUGCUACUACUCUGCUCGGGAACUAUGAAGGCGACAUGGCUCGUCAUUUGAUUCAACCCAUUGCAGACGAAUUCGAUGAAUCCAAAAUAUCUUUGCCUUUUUUGCAACUGUUGGACAUAGAAGAAAGCGAUGAAGACGUUGAAAGACCAGACAUUUUGGAAAUUCUGGAGGACAUCAAUGACUUUGUCCAUGAAUCUGAGGAAGCCAUUGACACAUUCAUCAUCAACAUCAUGCAGCAGCAAAACAGUGAAAUCGAAAGUGAGAGCAGUACUAAUAUGGCUCUUCUUAUUGGACUCCACAGUAAAAUCAUUGAUAUUAGAAAUCGGAUGCAACAACUUCCACCCAGCGACAAUGGUUUUGAUAUCAGUGAACAAAGUAACAUAAUCAUUCGCCAAUUGAGUGAGGGACAGCCUCAGCUUGAUGUCAGUGAAUUUGAAAGGGGCAGAGAGAAGUUGUUUGAUCUAUUGAUUGAGGGACCAUCUGGGCUUUCGGUGGUUGCAAUUCUCGACAGCAAUGGCUUCGAUAAGACUGCUUUUGCUGCUGAUACUUACAAUAAUAAUCAUGUCAAGUUCUAUUUUGACUGUCUUGCUUGGGUCAGGGUUUCUCUACUCUACGAUUUUCUCAAGAUAUUGGAUGACAUAAUCAAGUCUGUGAUGCCUCCAUCUCGGGUUAGUGUAAUUAUCGGUGAAGAUUAUCAAUUGAAGAAAUCUAUUCUUCGAGAUUACCUAACAAACAAGAAGUACUUUAUUGUGCUUGAUGACGUCUUCGAUUACAGCGAGAUAUGGAGUGAUCUUGUAGAACUUCUUCCCGAUUAUCAGAAUGGAAGCAGAGUAUUGAUAUUGGUCAAUGAUGCAUCCCUCCUUACCUCGUUCGAAUUGGAGCAUGGAGAGAAGAUUCGGCUUAAUUCAGCGCUCGUUGGAGGACCACUGAUUAGAAUAAAGUAUGAAGGCUGGCAAUUUUUCAUCCUACACUAUGGAAGCGCGCCAUUAGAAAAUUAUAUUCGAGGCGAAGCGAUGACAAUUUGGAGACAAAUUUGUUCUGUGAUGGAGUUACCUUUUCACUUGAAAGUCUGCUGCAUCUAUUUGUGUGUCUUCCCUCCAAGUAUUAAGAUAUCUACGAGGCAAUUAUAUCAGUUGUGGAUAGCUGAAUGUUUCAUCCCAUACAACAGUGAAGAAACUGCCAAACAUUACUUGAAAGAACUAAUCCAACGCGGCUUCAUUCAAGUGAGUAAGAGAAGAGCCGGCGGCACAAUUAAAGCGUGUUAUGUUCCAAGUCUUGCAUUUACUUCAUUGGCUUUGAUGGCAGAAAAGACGAUAUUUGUCUGGAAUCCUGGCAUGGAAGAGGAAUCACUGUCAAAUGUUAAACGGUGCUUCAUUUGGGAAAGUCUGAUUGACUUCUUUUCUUUGAAACAUUCUGACAUGUACCUCCAAUCUUUUCUGAAUCACAGUUCAGAAAGCGAUCAUCUUGCUCUGAUAGAUUGUGAGAAUUUUUGUAAAAAGUUCAAACACCUUCGGGUACUGGACUUGGGUUCUGCAGUUCUCGACCAAUAUCCACCCGGAUUAGAAAAUUUAUUCUAUUUGAAGUAUUUGAAAUUGAAUAUUCCAUCGCUCAAAUGUCUUCCUUCACUGCUAUGCACCCUUUUAAACCUUCAAACACUAGAAAUGCCAUCAAGCUACAUAGAUCAUUCAUCAGAGGAUAUUUGGAUGAUGCAAAAACUCAUGCAUCUGAACUUUGGAUCCAUCACUCUGCCUGCACCUCCAAAAAAUUAUUCCAGCUCUCUGAAAAAUCUCAUUUUCAUAUCAGCCUUACACCCUAGUAGUUGUACUCCAGAUAUAUUAAGCAGACUCCCUACUGUUCAAACACUUAGAAUAUCUGGAGAUUUGAGUCACUAUCAUUCUGGGGUUUCCAAAAGCCUAUGCGAACUGCACAAACUUGAAUGCUUGAAGCUGGCGAAUCAAGGCAAGAUGUGGCAGAUCACACGGAUGAUCCUGUCUGAAUACAAAUUUCCUCCAAGUCUGACCCAACUGAGCCUAUCAAAUACUGAGCUAAUUGAGGAUCCGAUGCCGACACUAGAAAAGCUUCCACACCUUGAGGUGCUGAAACUGAAGCAGAACUCGUACUUCGAAAGAAAGCUGGCUUGUGUUGGCUGUAGCAGUUUUCCUCAGCUCAAGAUUUUGCACCUAAAAUCAAUGCUAUGGCUGGAGGAGUGGACGAUGGGGGCAGGAGCAAUGCCAAAACUUGAAAGCUUAAUUUUGAACCCUUGUGCAUACUUGAGAAAGCUUCCUGAGGAGCUAUGGCGCAUAAAGAGCUUAUGCAAAUUGGAGUUACAUUGGCCUCAGCCAGAGUUGAGACAACGGCUACGAGCUUUUGAGGAUAUGGAGUGGCGGUAUGACAUCCAGUUAUAUCCUUCUGGAAUAUAACGGAUUGAAAGGGGUGAGAGUUUUACUUGAAAAUUAGUGAUAUGGUAUGACAUUGUUUCACCUACUCAAUAGAUUUAUAAAUGUGCUAUCUGUAGUAAAACCUUCAAGGGUUUAAAUUUUAAUUUAUGAUUCUAUGUCCUUUGACUUGUGUAGGAAAAGUAAAAGGGGGAAGCAUCAUAUAUAGCUGGAAUCUGGCUUUCAAUUUCAACUGUACUUUCAACAUUGAUCCGUUCAAUUCUCUUCAUUUCAGCUGCCUUGUUGGGACAUUAUUUUGAAGCGGAUUUUCCAUCAGUGAUGCCAUGGUUAUUCUAUUGUCCAUAAACUUGAAUAAGGUACGCUUUUGCUAAGAACUCUAAGAAAAAGACAUCUGGUCGCAGUUUCAUCAAUUGGCUGAGGGAAUUGCAACAAUGUAACUAAUGCCUCAGUGAACUCAUACCUUAUUUGAAUUUUAAUUGUAUGGCAAAAGGAUAUGUAUGAAUUAAAAUUUGCAAAUUAGUAGAGUUGUUUGUAAUCCCUCACCAGCAAGACUAUAACUUGUAAGGUAAAGCUCGGAUCAGCAUUCAUUGGCUAAACCGUAGACCAGAAAGGCUUGAUCUUGAACCGUGUGAUCGGUCCAAGAAAAUAAAUAUCACUUAAGUUACAUCAAUAAUUGGAGUAAUGUAGAUAAGAUCAAUAUUGCUCAAAAUAUAAUGUUCAAAGGAAAAGUAGACAAUGACUAGGAAUGAACAUAACUUUCUAUUUCAGACUUGGUUAAAACUUAAAAGAAAAAUAGGGGCCUGCAGACACCAAAAGGAUUAAAGGAAUCUCUUUUGAAAAGCGUUUGAAAGGAAUAAAAUGGGGUACUGAAGAUAAAGCAAUCAAAAAUCAAAGAUAAGCUAAUUGUAAUCCAACUAGAAGGCACUAAAAAUAUAUUUGUCUAAAUUUAAAUUUAAUUUCCACUGCCAAUUUGUAGUUUCAAUCCCCAAAAUGGAUCCAAAAAACUUCUCUGUCCCAAAACCUUUUCCCAAUCAAAUUCUAGAGCAAAAAUACGCAAGCAUACCAAUUCUGCCGUCUUCUACAUAUUAACUUAGCUUUCAUUGAAAUUCAAGAAAGCAAAAUGGCUAAAAGUCUAUGAAUGUUAACAAACAAAUCCACGAACCAAAACUACUCACAAAUAGUGUCUUUGAGCUCCAAAGUAACACCCAUGCAUAGCCAGCAUUUUAAUUCAGCCCAUGUGAUACAAGCUAUAAUUCAUUUGAAUUAUUUAUUAGAAAAGAGAAAAUAAGAUAAUUUUACGGAUAUUUCAAGUUACAUGUUUCACCGGCACACUUUAUGCCAAGUCCAUAAUGGUACAAAUAAUGUGUAACCUUAUGACCCACCCAAUAAUAGAAUCAGAUGUAGUAUGCACAAAUUGCACAAUCAAAAAAGCAUCCUACUGAUCCACCGAUUUAAUCUUUUAACCUUAUGACCCAACCAAUCUUGAUCUAUAACCUUUGCUUUCUGAUGUUUAACACAUUAUCCCAUCCUGGCCAAAAAUCUGAAAUGUUUUACGAGAGAAUUAAUCCGCUAAAUGGCUUUUGGCAGUUAAAAAAUAUUGCUUGAAUUAUAAAAAAUUGAUUCGAACAAGUUGACCUAACGGUUAUAUAAAUCUUGAUUUAGAUGAUAUCAAACUACAUAUUAAGGGUAAAAUAGAAAACAUACUCUUUUGAUCUCACUAGUUUUUGAAGGCAUAUAUCAUCUAUGUGAGCUCAAGUUCAAAGCAUUCGUGGUCAAAGCUCAUUAAAGUUAAGGACAAGCAUUAGAGAUACUAUCCAACAUAGGUAAUAUUUCUUGUCGCAUUUUUUGUAAGGCAGUAUGAUUAAAUGUGUGUAUGAUUAAGCAUUUAAAAGCUCAAUUUAUUAUCAUGAUCAUGGAACUUGACUUUGUUUUAUUUUCAUAUUGAAAAGUUUCUAGUCUUGAAUAAAAAAUGAAGAUCAAGUGUUUUUUAUCAAAAUGAUUGCCUUCAAGUAUGUGGACUAAUUUUUGGAGAAUUUGAAUGAUUAAACACUCAAAAACAAAUAUUGACCGUAUCUUUAGACCCCUACAAUUAGUUUUUAUCAAAAUGUUUCGUUUUCAUUAAACACUCAAAAACAAAUAGUACCACUCUUCCUUCAAUUCAUUCAGUAUCUUUAAACCCCUACAAUUCUUUUAAGCAAACAAAUAUUGACCGUACGUUUCGUUUAUAAGAUGCGUUUGGACCAUCGCUGUAGACUAAAAAUACAAAUUGGUAGUGGAAUUAAUUUUAGAGAAUUGGACAGUAAAUUUUUUUAAUAGUUAUAUUGUUAGAACUAAUUAAUUUUAUUAGUAUAAGAGAUUAUAACUUAGUAGGAAUUAGUUUAAAAAUUAUUAUUUUAAUUUAGUUAUUCUUAGUGUAAGUAAUAUAGAAGUAAAUAUAUUAAUAAUUAAUUAAUAGAGCAUAUCAAUUCCAUGAAGGUCUAAACAUAUUUUAAAAGCUAAAAUUUUUGUUUUGCGCAAGAAAGUGUUCAUACUAACAAGUUAUUAUCUACCCAAAUUCAAAGAUGUGGUAAUAACUCGAAAAAAAUAAAUUACUCUUUCAAACAACUUUAGAAAAAUGUUUUAUUCCAUGUUAUACCUUUAAUGUCACAUAUACGUUUUUGUAAUAUACAAAAUAAUUAUUAUCAUGUGAAAAUAAGUUACCGGAUCUAAAAAAUUUAUUAUUUAUUACAAAUGUAAAAUUUAUUCUUAUUUACAAAUAUCAUAAUUUUUUAUCAUUGGAUAAAAAUUCUUUCUAUAUAAAAUAUCAUAAUAUACUCUAGUGCCUUUUACUUAUGCUGGUUUAUCAUGAUUGGGAUUACCCUUUUUUUUUUUUUUUCUCCUAUGAUGCGCUGCUGGCGGGAACUUUUGACAAACCCGUUUUAUUCAAAGUGCUUUUCUAAAGAGAUUUCCUCAAUGUUUUUUAGUGUCGGUAGCCCUCUACUAUAUAUUCUUUUAACCCCAACUAUUCUUUUAACUAUGAACGAUAUUUCAAAGGCACUCUGUGUCCGAUGGAUCUAUAUAUAUUUCUCUUUUAAACAGAAAAAGAAAUUCUAAUCAUUUUAGCAUGAAUAAAAAAAUUUCAUAUAGAAAAAAAUACACAUCUAAUAACAGUAUACUUUUCAUGGCUUCAGACAGUAGAACUCACCAUUGAAGAUUAAAGAAAGACGAUUAAAAAAAAAAAAGGGCUAAGUUGUUGAGUUAUCCAAUUUAAGUCAUCUUGAUUUUGCAGGAGCCUGGAGUUUCCCCUCUCUUCUGGUAUUGUUAGCCUUCUUACUCGUGAAUCUCAUUUCUAUUCUUUUACAGAUUUAAGGAAAUAAUCAUAAAAUCUAGCUAUUUUUUUUCUUUAAUUAAUUGUUGUCUUCUCUCGCUUCUAAAGUUAUUAAAGGUUAUUCUUAAAAUAAGGUAGGUGUCAUUAGAAAAAAUUAUGAUCAUUUUAAUAUUUUUUGGUAAAAAAAGUAAAGGGAUUUGAGAGGACUUUUGAGGGGUCCCGUAGGUCCACUCUUGGGUGGCGUACCAACUGGAAAGGAGUAAAUUGAGUCGGUCAAAAGUUUCCGUCAAAAGCAGACAUCGUGAUAAGCCGACAAAACUAAAAUUGUCGUUUUAACAGUUCCAAAAGCCUCUUCGUCUCACAAAGUUUUCCAAAUUCCAAUCAACGAAUGAAAUUCAAGGAGCAAAAACGACAAGCAUACCACCCAUCUGCGAAUAGCGAAACAGCUAGUAAAUAACAAAAUGAAUAAUUAGAUGUCGUGCACGAUUAAGAGUAUGAUAAAUUUUAUUUAUAAAAUAUUAAAAUACUCUUUUUUUUAACCGGAUUUUAGGUCCGAUUGUUAUUUACUCACAAAUACUCUUUUUUUUUUUUUAACAGUUCUGUAUUUUAACAGAUCUACCAGGUGUACUACCAUCUACCAAAAUGAUCACCUUCCAAGAAUUUGAAAAUAUUGGCAGAAAUCUUUGUGCAAUUAUAUUAUCAUGAAACUUUAACUUUAAUUUAUUUAUUCUUUGCUAAGGAACCCUUUGCUUUAAUUACUUCCUUUUUCUGCUUCUUCCACAUAAUUGUUUGAUUGUGGUGCUUUCAGUCAGAAUUAGAUAUCAUCGGGACAUUAAAUCUUUGAUAUACUCAAACAAUCAAUACCAGGUAUUUUAUUAUCUGAAUUAUUCAUAUAAUAACUUCAUUUUAUUUAUUUUUAUCUCAUGAAUGUUAGAGGCACUUUAGGUCCGUGAUUAAUUAUUUUUCACAAAUUAUGUUUUUGGUAUCUUCUUUGUUAUAUUUGCUUUUAUCCGCAAAAGUUGUUUUUGUAUUUGUUUUAUAAUAAAGAUACCAUUAGUUUCUAGAUAAUAUUAAAGCCGUUGGUAUCAUGUGUUAAAAUAGCAUUUGAAAAUCAAAUUUGUAAAAAUGUGUUUGGCAAUUCUUUUGGAAAAAUUAAAAAAAUAAAUUAUAUGUGGGACCCAUCUUAUUUCCAUUCAUUCUUUGCACAAUGCAUUAUGGUGAUUGAUUAAAGUAUACAAGCGGCAAGGAAUUAAUGGAAAUAUGUUCUUCAAUGUUAUUUUAACCAAAGAUUUUUUCAAUGUUAUUUUAACCAAAUCCAACAACAUGUCAGAAAAGAACUUUGUGAAAUAUGUUCUUGAUUCUAGUAGUUUCGCCAAAUAGAAAAUAACUUGCCAAAACAAUGCCAAACAGCUCCUUAGUUACAGAUAGUUAUUUGACAACACAAGUACUCUGUCUUGCAUAUAUUUAUAUAUUUUUAAUAGCUCUGUUUUGCAAAUUCCUGCUAAACAGUAUAAAGGCCCGUUUGGGAGUGAGGUGCUAUAGAUUUUAAGCUGCAGUUGCUGUGGAGUAAAAGCUAUAGAUGUGGAGUGGAAGUUGGUGGUGUUUGGUAAAAGUGUUGUAGCUUUUAAGCUGCAGCUACUGAUGGUGUUUGGUAAAUUUUAAUAGUUGUAGAGUGGAUGAAUAUUUGUAAUAAUUAAUUUUAAAUAACAUUAUUUUUAAUUGUUAACAAAUCAAUUAUUUUUCAUUCUUCAAAUUAUUAUAUUGACAUACAAUUACGAUUUAUUACUUACAAUGCCAUCUUUCAAGAUUAUUACAUCUUGAGUUGUGCUAUCAAUCGUUUCAUAACUUUCUUCAUGAGAUGCAAUAUGUUCGCUAAUACUAUGACUUGGUUCAUCCGUCAUUUCAUCAAAAUGAUCAUUAUUUUGUGAAUAUCUUCUGAUAUAAUUAUGCAAGGCCAUGGUAGCAAUAACUAUUUUCACCUGCUUCUUGAAUGGAUAGCUUGGCAUACUUCGUAAAAUCUUCCAUGUAUUCUUCCAAAAUAACUUUCUUCAUGAGAUUCAAUAUUGCUUAUAUGUUUGUUAUUUCAUCAAAAUGAUCAUAAUUUUGUGAAUAUCUUCUGAUAUAAUUAUGUAAGGUCAUGGUAGUAAUAACUAUUUUCACCUGCUUCUUGAGUGGAUAGCUUGGCAUAUUUCGUAAAAUCUUUCAUGUAUUCUUCCAAACCCUAAAAGUACGCUCAAUAACACUUCUCAAGGAAGAGUGCUUGCAGUUGAACAAUUCUUUAUAACCUAUUUGUUGGCUACCUCUACGAAAUCCAGGAAUAACCCUUAUAAGGUCCUAAGUACCCACAUAACUUCGGAUAUCUUGCAUCUACUAAAUAGUAUUUUCCUAAAAAUAAAAAGAAAAAUACAAAAAAAAUAACACAAUCUAAUCAAUUGAAUAAGUAUUUAAAAAAAAUUAGAAAUACAAACUUGGAGGAGGAUUUGGAUAAUUGAAUGCAGGAUUCGUAAUAGUUGUUUGAAAUACCCUUGCAUCAUGGGCACUGCCUUCCCAACCAGCCACUGUAAAUAUGAAUUGCAUAUCAAAUCUACAUACAGCCAUUACAUUCUGAGUUGGUGUCCCUCUUCUACCAAUAAAUGGAAUUUGAUCCUCCGAAGAUAUUGAGGCAGGUAUAUGAACACCAUCAAUAGCACCCAUACAAUCCUUAAAGUAAGGCAUAUAUCUUGAAUCUUCAGAUGUCUCUUUGGGAGUGGUAAUAAAGUCAGGAUCCAACGGUUUUAUCAAAUCUACGGACAUACAACACACACUAUCUAAUACCUUGUCAAAAUAUCUACUCACAGUCUCACUAGAAUGUUGGAACCGCUCCAUUGUUGACCGAUUUCCUACACUUUGUCCUAGUAUAACUAGAGCUUGCUGAAAAGUUAAGACAUAAUUAUGGAAGAUAUAUUAAUAAUAAUUUCAAUGCUAUUAUUUUUCCUCAAGCAAAUAGUCCAGAAAAAUUUCCAUAAAUAAGCCUCAUGGUAAGAACAAUGGAUAUAUUUUACAAAAUUUCCAUAAAUAAGCCUCAAGCAAUACUACAUAAGCGCAAUCUCGAAGCAAACAAAUAUGUGUGCUGCACUUUCGGCAGAGGUAGUAUUUUUAAUACCAAAAACACAUAUGCUAUUAUUUUUCCUCAAGCAAAUAGUUCAGAAAAAUUUCCAUAAAUAAGUCUCAUGGUAAGAACAAUGGAUAUAUUUUACAAAAUUUCCAUAAAUAAGCCUCAAGCAAAUAAAUCAAUAGCAACAAUUCAUAGACAUUGUAAAUGUAAUAUAAAGUGUAAUCAGUGACAAAAUAAAAAGUAUUCAUUCAUAAACAUAAUUUACAAAAUAUUGUUUCAUAAAUACAAUACAUUUUCACUUUGUAUUUUUCUCAUAAUUAAGCCAUUUCAAUUUGACAUUUGGAUCUUCUAUCUCAUUAAAUAAAUCCCUUUUCACUUUGUCCGUAAACAACUGACUAGCAAAUAACCACACUUUACUCCCAGCCUCAAUGUUUGGUAAAGAAGCAACCACUUCCAAUGCUUUAUAAAUCUCUUUCCCACUUGUAUCAUUUUGAGAGUUUGAAGUUGUGUUCCUUUUCUCUACUGCAUCAAUGAGACGAUCAAGCUGCCUUGACAGUUUUACAGCACCUCCUACUUUGUUCCCUUUUAAGGCCACUCUUUUACCUUUGCUUCCCUUACUAUCAUCAGACACAAUAUACUCAUCAGAGUCAGCAGUACUCUCAACACAAAGAGAUUCAGAUGCGUCAUUACUCUCUAAAGGAAAACCAGAUGAGGGAACCCAAACAUGCUCACCAGUAGCCACAGUGUUCAUGAACAUUAAAUUUAUUUUUUUCUCCAACUCUGGAUCAAUACCAUUUUUCCGAAAUCUACUGUCCUUACUAUCAUCAGACAUAAUAUACUCAUCAGAGUCAGCAGUACUCUCAACACGAAGAGAUUCAGAUGCGUCAUUACUCUCUAAAGGAAAACCAGAUGAGGGAACCCAAACAUGCUCACCAGUAGCCACAGUGUUCAUGAACAUUAAAUUUAUUUUUUUCUCCAACAUGUUCAUGAACAUUAAAUUUAAUUUUUUCCCCAACUCUGGAUCAAUACCAUUUUUCUGAAAUCUACUGAAUUGCGGAUUUUCCUUUAUUUUCUUUUCCCACCAUUCCUCACUUGCAUCAAUUGUCCUCAACCUAUGAUUCCACCCUAAACCAGCUUCCUUACCAAUCAAAUUCUUCCACAAUUUCCAAUCAGUUCUAAAAGAAUCCCAUUUAUUUUUCAUUUGAGUUCUGUUGUAAUCUAAUCCAGUUUCUUUAGUGAACUCCUUAAUCAAAUUUUCAUAUCCUUGGGAAGUCAAAUGAGUCCCAGGACGAUGUCCGGCAUCCACCUCUUUAAUGCAUAAGUCACAAAAUACAUCUAAAGUCUGGGGGUUCCAGGUAGCCUUACUAGUUGAGCUAUUAGACAUAAUUUCAUACACUUAAACCUAGGAAAAAAAAAUAUUUCUUUGUCAAACAACAAUACAGGAAAAAUAAGAACAUAGAAGUUAAUAAAAUUACUAGAAUCUCAAAAUUAAAAAAAAAAAGACGAACAAGUUACUUUAGUUGUUACUUUACUUGAAAUACUUUUCCAGCAAACAAUAAUGAUCAUAGAAUACUUUUCCAGCAAACAAUAAUGAUCAUAGCCCACGAAUAGAAACAAUUACAAGAAAGUCAAUAAAGCAACAAAAGACAAACCAGACUAGGAAACAAAGAAAUUCAACUAAACAAUCAUUAGGUACAAACUGCAAUUGCAUUUAGCCUCACAAUCUCAAAUUUGCUACGUGCUUUGAUAUUUCCUGUACUAUUCUUUUGGCCCAUCCCAAAGAAAUCGGAUAAGACAUAUACAAUUGCAACACUUUCUCCCUUCUUUUUUCUGUAAUUUGUAUGGCGACUUACGUAUAUAUAACCUAAUUAUUGAUGAUGGAUUAGAAAAUCAUUAGGCUUAUUAAUUAUACGCGUCAAAAGAAUGGUCGGGCAAUAAUUAGGUGUCCUGCUUAUACUCCUGUAAUUUAGUCAUUCUCUAGUAAAUAUUAUUAAAUAAAAAGAAACACAAACAAUUAAGCUUAUUGGUAACUGAAUUGGUGCCCAAAAAUAACAAGAGCAGGAGAAAGCAAACACACCCAAGAAUUUGACAAACUUCAACUUGAAAUCCAGAAUUUGACAAACUUCCCUUUGUUUACUGAAGCAUAGUAUUUCAUAACGUAGGCAUGCAUUUUAUUAUUUAAUGUUUUGUAGAACUAGAAACUCAAAUCAAACAGGGGCUGUGCAUGUCUACAAAAAGCAACUACAAAAAUAAAAACUACGAUAAAAACAAUGGUUACAAGCAAAUAAAUCACGCAUUACCCAUCACCCAUCAAUUUAUUCUAAACAAAAGCCCCAACAUUUUAUGAACGAAAAGGAAGAAAAUGAAAAAUUGCUUGCAAUAGAGUAAAGGAGCACUAAAAAAUGAACAACGGGUAGAGGAAAACGCACCACUGACAGAGGCGUAUGAGAGUGGCCAGUGUCGGAAUCGCAUCAAUUGGAACUCCCACAGUCGGAAUCGUGCUGAUGAGAAUGGGUGUUUAGGGUUUGUUUAAAAAAAUUGAUUUGAAAUAGAACUCCCACUGACACGACUGUUUGAUAAAAUUAAAAAAAAAAAUCGAUUUGAAAUAGAACUCCCACUGACACGACUGUUUGAUAAAAUGAAAAUGGAAUAAUAUAUAAGGCUAAUUUAGUAAUUAAACUUGUAGCUGGGAAAAAAAAUAUGCCAAGUUGUCAAAACACAGCUAUAAGUGUUACCAAACACUUUGGUGGCUGGGCUUUGGCAGCCCAGCCACCUCACCACACUCCCAAACGGGCCCUAAGUGAGAGAAGGAGACAUGCUGGACGUCCACCUCCGACUAUUUUGUGAGAGGUUGAAAAGGGUGUUAGCAGGUAAAGAAGGCGCGUUGCCGUUGCCUGAUUCAACAAAUUUAACCCCGCUUUUUGAAAACCUUCUUACGGAGACUGAAAUUAUUACUACUCUGCUCGGGAACUACGAAGGCGACAUGGCUCGUCAUUUGAUUCAACUCAUUGGAGACGAAUUCGAUGAAGACGAACUGCCUUUGCCUUUCCGGCAAUUCUUGGACGUAGAUGAAGUUAGAAUUUGAAGAUCAAAGGAAGAAGAUGAAGAUCUGAUUGUAUUUUGAUUAUCACAAAAACUAACUACAGUAAUGAGCUUAGCUCAGUAUUUAUAGUAGAAUCUAAUGCUUGCUAAUCACGCCAAUUACAGCUAAGUAAUCUAACUUCUAAAUAACAAAUGCUAAUGUAACUAACUUCAACACAAUUAACAGGAGCUGAUUUGUUAACUAAUUUCAGCCUGAUCCAACUGCAUGGGAAUCUCUUCAUAACAGUUUUGCCAUCUGGAAUUUAGCAGCUUCUCACGUGCACCUUUCACUUUCACUCCUAGACUAGCUACUGGAUUUACAGCUGGCUUGAUUCCAGCUGGCACUCCAACGUGUGUUGCAUGAGGUUCAGCUUCAUCAACUAAUUCAACACCCCUUCUCAAACUUAAGUCUUUUGGGAAGACUUUAAGUUUGCUUCUGAAGAAGUUGAACUUGGGAUAAGUUAGGGGUUUAGUUAAUAUAUUAGCAACUUGAUCAUUUGUAGACACAAACACAAUUUCAACUUCUUUCCUCUCAACUUUCUGCUGUACGGCCAAGGCGGAUGUACGGUACAGCAGAUCGUAAAACCUUCUAAGAUUCAAAUUUGAAUUUGUUAUGGAUGGUGGAAGGAAAAAUAAUUCGAUAUUAAAAAAAUUUAAAAAAAAAAGACAAACCAGAACAAGUUACUUUAGUUGUUACUUUACUUGAAAUACUUUUAAUCAAACACUUAGUUUACUUGAAAUACUUUUCCAGCAAACAAUAAUGAUCAUAGCCCACGAAUAGAAACAAUUACAAGAAAGUCAAUAAAGCAACAAAAGACAAACCAGACUAGGAAACAAAGAAAUUCAACUAAACAAUCAUUAGGUACAAACUGCAAUUGCAUUUAGCCUCACAAUCUCAAAUUUGCUACGUGCUUUGAUAUUUCCUGUACUAUUCUUUUGGCCCAUCCCAAAGAAAUCGGAUAAGACAUAUACAAUUGCAACACUUUCUCCCUUCUUUUUUCUGUAAUUUGUAUGGCGACUUACGUAUAUAUAACCUAAUUAUUGAUGAUGGAUUAGAAAAUCAUUAGGCUUAUUAAUUAUACGCGUCAAAAGAAUGGUCGGGCAAUAAUUAGGUGUCCUGCUUAUACUCCUGUAAUUUAGUCAUUCUCUAGUAAAUAUUAUUAAAUAAAAAGAAACACAAACAAUUAAGCUUAUUGGUAACUGAAUUGGUGCCCAAAAAUAACAAGAGCAGGAGAAAGCAAACACACCCAAGAAUUUGACAAACUUCAACUUGAAAUCCAGAAUUUGACAAACUUCCCUUUGUUUACUGAAGCAUAGUAUUUCAUAACGGAGGCAUGCAUUUUAUUAUUUAAUAUCUUGUAGAACUGGAAACUCAAAUCAAACAGGGGCUGUGCAUGUCUACAAAAAGCAACUACAAAAAUAAAAACUACAAUAAAAACAAUGGUUACAAGCAAAUAAAUCACGCAUGACCCAUCACCCAUCAAUUUAUUCUAACGAAAGCCCCAACAUUUUAUGAAUGAAAAGGAAGAAAAUGAAAAAUUGCUUGUAAUAGAGUAAAGGAGCACUAAAAAACGAACAACAGGUAGAGGAAAACGCACCACUGACAGAGGCGUAUGAGAGUGGCCGGUGUCGGAAUCGCACCGAUGAGAAUUUCAGUGACAGAAUCGCAUCAAUUGGAACUCCCACAGUCGGAAUCGUGCUGAUGAGAAUGGGUGUUUAGGGUUUGUUUAAAAAAAAAAUCGAUUUGAAAUAGAACUCCCACUGACACGACUGUUUGAUAAAAUGAAAAUGGAAUAAUAUAUAAGGCUAAUUUAGUAAUUAAACUUGUAGCUGGGAAAAAAAAUAUGCCAAGUUGUCAAAACACAGCUAUAAGUGUUACCAAACACUUUGGUGGCUGGGCUUUGGCAGCCCAGCCACCUCACCACACUCCCAAACGGGCCCUAAGUGAGAGAAGGAGACAUGCUGGACGUCCACCUCCGACUAUUUUGUGAGAGGUUGAAAAGGGUGUUAGCAGGUAAAGAAGGCGCGUUGCCGUUGCCUGAUUCAACAAAUUUAACCCCGCUUUUUGAAAACCUUCUUACGGAGACUGAAAUUAUUACUACUCUGCUCGGGAACUACGAAGGCGACAUGGCUCGUCAUUUGAUUCAACUCAUUGGAGACGAAUUCGAUGAAGACGAACUGCCUUUGCCUUUCCGGCAAUUCUUGGACGUAGAUGAAGUUAGAAUUUGAAGAUCAAAGGAAGAAGAUGAAGAUCUGAUUGUAUUUUGAUUAUCACAAAAACUAACUACAGUAAUGAGCUUAGCUCAGUAUUUAUAGUAGAAUCUAAUGCUUGCUAAUCACGCCAAUUACAGCUAAGUAAUCUAACUUCUAAAUAACAAAUGCUAAUGUAACUAACUUCAACACAAUUAACAGGAGCUGAUUUGUUAACUAAUUUCAGCCUGAUCCAACUGCAUGGGAAUCUCUUCAUAACAGUUUUGCCAUCUGGAAUUUAGCAGCUUCUCACGUGCACCUUUCACUUUCACUCCUAGACUAGCUACUGGAUUUACAGCUGGCUUGAUUCCAGCUGGCACUCCAACGUGUGUUGCAUGAGGUUCAGCUUCAUCAACUAAUUCAACACCCCUUCUCAAACUUAAGUCUUUUGGGAAGACUUUAAGUUUGCUUCUGAAGAAGUUGAACUUGGGAUAAGUUAGGGGUUUAGUUAAUAUAUUAGCAACUUGAUCAUUUGUAGACACAAACACAAUUUCAACUUCUUUCCUCUCAACUUUGUCUCUCACAAAAUGAAUGUCUAUUUCAAUGUGUUUGGUUUUAGAGUGCAUUACUGGAUUUGUAGCUAUAGCAGCUGCACUUGUGCUAUCACUUAGCAGCAAUGGAGUGUUCUAAAGUAUGACAUCCAGUUCUUUAAGAAUUGAGCAGAUCCAAGUUAAUUCUGAACAGGCCAAUGCCAUAGCUCUGUAUUCUGAUUCUGCUGAUGAUUUGGAAAUUAUGCUCUGCUUCUUUGAACUCCAGCUGAUUAAGUUUUCACCUAAAUAAACACAGUAGCCACUAGUUGAUCUUCUGUCAUCAAUAUCACUUCCCCAGUCAACAUCAAUAUAUAACACAAGGUCUACAAAAUCAGAUCUCCUAAAAGUCAAACCAUAGUCUAUGGUUUCCUUGAGAUAUCUCAGUACUCGUUUACAAGCAAUCCAGUGAGGUUGUAAAGGAUUAGCCAUGAAUUGGCUUAACUUGUUCACAACAUAUGCUAUUUCAGGCCUUGUUAAGACUGUAUAUUGUAAUCCUCCAAUAGCUUUUCUGUAUUGAGUUGCAUCAGUAAGGUCUUCACCCAUGUUUUUGCUCAGUUUUUCUGUUGUGGCCAGAGGAGUAUCAGUUCCCUUGCAUUCUUUCAAAUCAAACUUGGCAAGUAGAUCUUUUAUAUACUUUGACUGGGAUAAUAUCAAAGUUUCAUCAUUUCUAAUAACUUCAAUACCAAGAAAGAAAUUAAGAUUUUCCAAAUCCUUAACAUGAAAAGUGCUGCUGAGGUUGCUGAUAAGCUGUUCUAUUUCAGCAUUGUUAUUUCCAGUCACUAUUAUAUCAUCGACAUAAAUCAACAACAUAAUCAUAUCAUUUCCACUUCUCUUAAAGAAUAAAGAUGUGUCUGACCUGGUUCUAGUAAACUACCAAGACUCAAGAACUGAUCUGAGUUUAUCAAACCAUGCUCUUGGUGCUUGCUUCAAUCCAUAGAGGGCCUUUUUUCAGCUUACACACAUAGUUUGGAUGCUCUGAAUUCUCAAACCCUUCUGGCUCUGGUGGCUUUCGGGAACUUAAGGUUUUGCACCUGAAAUCAAUGUAUUGGCUAGAUGAGUGGACGAUGGCGGCAGGAGCAAUGCCAAAACUUGAAAGCUUAAUUGUCAACCCAUGUGCUUACUUGAGAAAGCUCCCAGAAGAGCUGUGGUGCAUAAAGAGCUUGCGCAAAUUGGAUUUACAUUGGCCUCAGACAGAGUUGAGACAGAGGCUACGGACUUUCGAGGAUAUGGAGUGGCGGUAUGACAUCCAGUUAUAUCCUUACGGAAUCUGAUGGAUGGAAUUGGGUGAGUUUUAAUCAUAUCUGAACUGGGGUUCUGCAGUUCUCGAUCAAUAUCCACCCGGAUUAGAAAAUUUAUUCUAUUUGAAGUACUUGAAAUUGAAUAGCCCUUCGCUCAAAUGUCUUCCUUUUAAACCUUCAAACACUAGAAAUGCCAUCUAGCUACAUAGAUCAUUCACCAGAGGAUAUUUGGAUGAUGCAAAAACUCAUCCAUCUGAACUUUGGUUCCAUCACUCUGCCUGCACCUCCAAAAAAUUAUUACCGCUCUCUGAAAAAUCUCAUUUUCAUAUCGGCCUUACACCCUCGUAGUUGUACUCCAUAUAUAUUAGGUAGACUUCCUAAUGUGCAAACUCUUAGAAUAUCUGGGGAUUUGAGUCACUAUCAUUCCGGGGUUUCCAAAAGCCUGUGCGAACUACACAAACUUGAAUGCCUGAAAUUGGUGAAUG
rnacentral:lncRNA from 1 species